rnacentral:rRNA from 1 species
ACUCAAAGGAAUUGACGGGGACCCGCACAAGCGGUGGAGCAUGUGGAUUAAUUCGAUACUAACCGAAGAACCUUACCCAGACUUGACAUCGAUCGUAAGCCCUAGAAAUAGGGCCCUCUCUCACAAGGAGACGUGAAGACACUUGUUGCAUGGCUGUCGUCAGCUCGUGCCGUGAGGUGUUAGGUUAAGUCCUUCAACGAGCGCAACCCUCGACCUGUGUUACCAGCAUGAAAGAUGGGGACUCACAGGUGACCGCCGGUGUAAGCCGGAGGAAGGUGGGGAUGACGUCAAGUCAGCAUGGCAGUUACGUCUGGGGCUUCACACAUGCUACAAUGGACGAAACAAAGGGCUGCGAUACCGCGAGGUGGAGCCAAUCCCAAAAAUACGUCCUCAGUUCAGAUUGCAGUCUGCAACUCGACUGCAUGAAGUCGGAAUCGCUAGUAAACGCAGGUCAGCUAUACUGCGUUGAAUACGUUCCCGGGUCUUGCACACACCGCCCGU